GAUGAACGCUAGCUACAGGCUUAACACAUGCAAGUCGAGGGGAAACGAUAUUGGAAGCUUGCUUCCGAUAGGCGUCGACCGGCGCACGGGUGAGUAACGCGUAUCCAACCUGCCCACCACUUGGGGAUAACCUUGCGAAAGUAAGACUAAUACCCAAUGACGUCCAUAGAAGACAUCUGAAAUGGAUUAAAGAUUUAUCGGUGAUGGAUGGGGAUGCGUCUGAUUAGCUUGUUGGCGGGGUAACGGCCCACCAAGGCGACGAUCAGUAGGGGUUCUGAGGGGAAGGUCCCCCACAUUGGAACUGGGACACGGUCCAAACUCCUACGGGAGGCAGCAGUGAGGAAUAUUGGUCAAUGGGCGAGAGCCUGAACCAGCCAAGUAGCGUGCAGGAUGACGGCCCUAUGGGUUGUAAACUGCUUUUAUAAGGGAAUAAAGUGAGCCUCGUGAGGCUUUUUGCGUGUUCCUUAUGAAUAAGGACCGGCUAAUUCCGUGCCAGCCGCCGCCGUAA
rnacentral:rRNA from 1 species